UCCAAAAGGGUAUUUACACCAAUCUGUUAUUCGAAUUAUUUGAAUUGUAAAACUCAACUCGAUUCGAACUCAAACUCGAAUAAUUCGGAUAACUCAAAUAACCCAAUUCGAUUAACUCAAAAUUCAAAUUUUUUCGAUUUUUUCAAAUCGAAUCGAGUUUUGCUCAUCCCUAUUUAUAUGGAUUCAAACUAGGUAUCAAAUUUAAUAUUUGAAAAACUAUUUAAGAAAAGAAAGGAUGUUUUUGCAUUUAUAUAGGUUUGAACUAGGACCAAUUUUAAAGUUUAAAAUUAUUGUUUUCAUUGUACAGGCCAAUUUUGGGCUAAACCCAAAACCCAACUAACCUAGCCCAAUACCCUAAACUACCUGAGCCCAAAUUUUAAAACCCUAACAGCCCAUCUGCUUAAAAGAUUUCAGCAGCAAGCCCUAGCUCCCACCUUGUCAGCCGCCGCUUCCCACCAUCGGCCAACCAUUGGCUACCUUGCGCACUACCCCCUCGUCCACCGCGCCCACUACCUGUAACAGAGACAGAAACAACAGCAAAAGGAAGCAUGCGAGGAAUGGGGGCAAAGAAUAAACAAAACAGAAACAAAAAAAAAGGAGAAAUGAAUGUCUAUGGAUCGGCUUUAAAAAGCCAAAAUGAAGGAUGAGAAAAGAGGGCCUUUUUUUUCUUUUCUCUUUACCGAGCAGUGUAAAAUUCGAAAAAUCUCAAAAAAAAUUUCAACAACCAAUAUACGAAAGCUAAAACCUCAUAAGUAGCAUAGAUCAAACAUCAAAAAGGAGAUUUAAACGUCCUAAAAUCGGAAACGUUACUAGCAAAUAGGGAAAGAAGAAGAGAACAACGGCAAAGUCAAGGUUCCUAAUAUUUUUUCAUUUCUUUUUAUUUUCAGAUUUACAUUCACCUAUAUAUGCAUAUAUAAUAAAAUACACAAAAAAAAAGGAAUUUUUACCAAAGGCGAUUUCCGGCCACCGUGUACGGUGGCCGGCGCGGUGGAGCUACGACGGCGUGCGGUGGCUCUCCUGGCCGGUUUCUAGGCAUCCCUAGAGAGAAAAAUCCCUUUCUCCCUUUUUUUUUUCCUAAGACUCAGCUGAAAUGAAAAUAAGAAAGGAAAUUUAACUUAUAUACUGUUAAUAAAACGGCAACGUUUUGGCGAAAAUGACCCAGGGCAUAAAACGACGUCGUUUUGCCUUGGGUCGGACUGACCCGACCCGACCCAGGAGGAGGAUCCGCGUGUUUUUGCGAAAGGGUCUAAUUGCGCGAAUGACCCUUCCGCUUUUCUAAACUUUUGCGAUCAGGUUUUCAUUCUUUUUAAAUUUGGCAUAAAAUUCAAGCGCAUUUUUUAUUUCGAUCCCCACUAAACGCUGCGUUUCGAAAGGACAGGAUAUUUGCACUUUUAAUCCUUCCCGUGUUUUAGCGUGUUCCAAUUGGUCCUUCUCUUUUAUAUAUUUCUUUUAAAAUUCCCCCUAGCCUUUUUUUUAUUUCGAUUUUCAUCCCUUUUACUUCUCAUCAUUAUUUAUUUUAAUUUCAAUAUUAUUCAUACUAAUAUAUCCUAUUAACGUUACUAUUAUUAUAUUUUUAGUAUUUUAUUGUUGUUAUUCUACUUAAUACUAACCUGUAUAUGUUAUGUAGUAUUAUUAAGGGUUUAAUAUCAUUAUUUUGUUAGUAUAUUUGUAUAUCACCAAUGCAUUCUUUAAAUAUAUAUACAUUUACGCGUAUAUCCUAAAAUUAUAUUACACAUAUUUGUUUUAUAUAUAUUUAUCUACCUAUAUUAUGUCUCUAUUUUAAUAUAUUUUACAUAUAGUAGUUAGAUAUAGUUCUUAUACAUUUCCAUGUACAUAUUUCUAUACCAUCUUAUGUAUACAUUUACCUAUGUUUUCGUAUUUAUGAAUAUAUCUUUAAUACAUAUAAGUAUAUAUUUAUUAUUAAUAGAUGUUUUCAACAUUAUUAUUAUAUAUAUUAUGUGAAUAUUUUAACAUUACAUUAUAUAUGUAUUUAUAUAUAUUACGCAUAUAUAUAUACCCUUCUUUUUAAUAUUAUAUUUUUUACAUAUAUAUGUAGAUAUACGUACUUAUACCUACUUAAAUAUAUUUUUUCACAUUUCAUAAUUCUUAUAUACUUACAUAUAUUUAUGCAUAUUUUACAUCAUAUACAUACUUAUAUUUUAUACUCUUAAAAAUGUUUUUUGUAUAUUUCACAUAUUUUAUAAUCCACAUACAUAUAUUCUAUAUUAUCACGAUUUGUAAAUAUAUAAAUACACAUUUACAUUUUUUAUAAUAUUUACCGAUUUUAUAUAUGUACAUACUUAUCUAUGUUUUCAUAUUCUGUAAUUUAUACAUAUUUCUUAUUUUAUGGUUUUAAAUUAUACAUGCACAUAUAUAUAUUUUACAUAAUUGUAUUCAUUGUCAUCAUUGUUAUUUGGUGUUUGUUUAUUUAUCCAUGUACACUUGUGCUUUUUCUAAAACGUUAGUUCUAUUUAUUUAUUUGUAUGCUUUGUUUAUGUAAUCGCCUCGUCAUUUCAUUUUGCCUAUUGUAUUGUUGUUACUCACUUUACUUUGCUUACCUUGUCGUAUUCGUUAUUAUUUCGUCAAGCAUUAACACCAAACAUCAAAAGGAAAAUUUUUCUAAAUAAGGCAAUAUUUCGCGUUUGGAAAUUCGGGAAAACGUGCCCUAACGUGCUGGGUUUCGAUUUCUCGUUUGACUAAAUAGCCAAAUAUCCUCUUAAAGCUUCAAAGUAUGGUUUCAUUAAACUAUAAGGUGAUCUUGGUUUCGAUGGUUUAGAGUAUCGUAUCCUAACGUGCUGGAUGUGAUAUUCAUUCGGAACAAGAGAGUCUUAUAUUUCAAUUCACGUUAUCAGAGUUUCUUUUAAGGAUCGUAUUUUUAAAAUUCUUUUCGAAUUUUUAAUUUUCGACACCAAGACAUUAAGUAAUCAACUAGGUACCAAUUUUGGGCGUAUCGAGGGUGCUAACCCUUCCUCGUGCGUAACCGACUCCCGAACCCAUUUUUCUGAAUUUCGCAGACCAAAAUCGUUGUUUUAAUAAAAAUUGAAUUGUUUAUUGAAAACAACCACUUUUCGAGGUGACCCGAUCACACCUCAUCAAAAAAGGAUUGGUGGCGACUCCCGUUUUCAUUCUUUUUUUAAAAUCCAAGUCGACCCCGUUUUCAUCCAAAAAAAAGGUGUCAACAGUUUGGCGACUCCACUGGGGACAAUAAGAGAGUCAAGCCAUGUGUUGAUUAUUUCUUGUCUUUUUGUUGAAAGUGGAAAAUUCGAUUUAAAUUUACGAUCCUCUCAUUGCAUCUCUUCUGUUUUGAGUUAUUUUUUUAUCGUGUUCUGUAUUUUAUUUUAUACCUCCGCACAUUCCAUUGCAUGACCGUUGGUCACACCUUUUAAGUGGGAGUGAGAAACUACGCCUUCGUGAGGUUUUCACCUCCGCAUGGGAUAGUGAAUCGCUUCCGGGAUACAUCCGUACCUAUGUCUUCGUGAGAUUUUCAUCUCCGCAUGGCCAUAGGGAAAUGUAUUCCCCUGAACUGAACUCGGUCCAUAUGAGCCUAUAAUGGGUGAGGAUCGAGGAAUCUGCUGGUUCAGGUACCCUCACUUUAGAACCAAACCACACAUAGCGAGCCAUAAGAACCCACCGAGAUAGAGCUAUUCUAGACCCUAGUGCUUACCGAAUAGAUGCUUUAUUUAUUAUUGUUUAUUUUAAAUCCUAGAUCUAAUUUGCUUUGUUUGUGAUUGCAUGGCAUUUUCAUUUCAAAAGAGGUGUCGAUUCACGUUCAGUAUAGAUAGAAAGCUUAUAAUGGAAAAGAGGUUUCUUGAUAAAGUAGAAGACAAUGCAGCUGUACGAUUAUGGGCUGAGACGAUGUGGAGAGAGAAAGGCGAUAGUCUUGCAGAAGGGUACGUAUCAGAGUUAUGGGACUUCACCCGUAUCAGCGUAGUCCAAAAUGAUCUGCGAGAAAUGAAGGAAAUAUGGGAUCAAUGGGACGAUGGGACCAAGCAGAUGUUUUACUGUGAUUACGGGGACUUGCCUCACCUACUUGGUGUCAAAGUGGACAAGCAUUUAUUCCGAGCCCUAGCCCAGUUUUGGAAUCCUGCUUACAGUUGUUUCACUUUUGGAAAAGUGGACUUGGUGCCCACCGUGGAAGAAUAUACGACCUUGCUUCGGUGUCCAAAGAUUCAAAUUGACAAGGCCUAUUCUAGAGCUACUAGUGUCCCGACAUUAUUAAAAAAAUUGAUGAGCAUUACAGGGAUGAGCGAACAGUGGGUCGCUGCCCGGAUCCAACAGAAAGGAGACAGUAAAUGCGUUCCUUGGAAAAGCUUGCGAGAUCUAGUAUUAGCACACCCUGAUGUGAAGAAAAGAGUGGAUGUCUUCGCUCUAGGUAUCUAUGGAUUGGUAAUUUUCCCUAGAGCUUUAGGGCACGUAGAUGAGGCCGUCUCUGAUUUGUUCGAUCGGCUUAGCAAAGGAGUCACGCCCAUCCCGGCAAUCUUAGCAGAAACCUUCAGAUCUCUAAGCGCAUGUCGAAGAGCAGGGGAGGGAAGGUUCAUCGGAUGCGCACAGCUACUGUUGGUGUGGUUCCAUAGUCACUUUUGGAAGCUGGAAAAUGUCUCUUAUCGAGUCUUCUCAGAAGGUUAUUCCCCGUUGAAGGAACAAGUUGCUACACCAAGACGAGACGACAUCACGGAAGAGAAGUGGAUGGUGAUUCUCCAAAAUCUUCAGGAGGAUGACGUUGAAUGGAAAGCUCCUUGGAUGGUACCCGACGAGAUCCUGUAUCGAUAUGGUGAUUUCGACUGGGUCCCUUUACUCGGAAUUUGGGGAGCUAUCGGUUAUGCCCCUUUACUCGUAUUAAGACAAUAUAGAUCGAGACAGUUCAUACCAGCAACACAAGGGUUGGCUCAAUGUGAGUUUUCUUAUAAAGAUGAAAACUACAAGAGAAAAGCUCGAGAAAUAUCUAACGCUUGGAAACAGGUUCACCGAAUGAAAAGAUUUACCAUAGGAGCGAUGGCAACUUCAGAAUAUUAUGGGUGGUGGAGUAAAAGAGUCAAUGACAACAUCCCUAAGCCGAGGGAAGAUUGCGUUCAGUCUAUAGAAGAGCAUCUACAAGUAGUUCCGUCAGAAUUAGAGAUCAUCAAACGAGACUUUGAGAAAAGAAAUUCUGAGUUGGGAAAGAGGAUAGAACAGUUAGAAGAAGAAAGAGUGCAUUUGGGAUUAGACAUCGAUAUCCACAAGCUAGAAGCCGAGAAAUUAAGGAAGGGAAAGAACAAAGCUGAAGAGGAUUUGGAUAGACUAAAAACAGAUUACAAGAAGCUGCGAUUGUCGAUGAGAACUGUCGGUCUGGGCAAAACGUCAGAGCAGUGGUGACAAGAGAUCAAUGAGGAAAAGAAUAGGGCCGAUCAGUGGGAAAAGAAAUUUCAAGAUGCUCGAGCUCGAGAAAACGCUUUGGAAAGGAGUUUGUUAGAGUGCCGAAAUGAGAAGGCAGGAUUAAAGGCUAAGGCGACAGAGCUAGAAAAGUCACUUCACUCGUACCAUAGUCGCAAAUCCAUGAUCGAAUUAAGAGCAAGCUUAAAUAAGAUCGAAGAACUGAAGGAAAAGGUAGAGGAGCUUGAGGACGCAUUACACAAUUCUGAGCUACGAAUGGAGCUUCUUGAGAGGAGUAAUGAUCAAUGGCAAGAGCAAUUCCAUCAUUCUCAAAGGCAGAUUAGAGACAGAGAUUACGUUAUGGGCGAAACUGUGACUCAAGUGCGGGAAGUGGCUGAUCAUCUGCAAACAUUAGCAGUUCAGGCCGAUGUAUUGAGUUUAAAAUAUGAGUCAGAAUCAAGCCGAGGUCGAGAUUUAGCUUGGCUUCUUAGGAAGGUUAAGGCCUUGGGUAUAAGGGCGAGGCCGUAUAUGUAAUUUAUUUUAUGUAAAGAAAUUUGCUUUCUAGUUGAGUUUUCUAAUGAAAUUGAAUUCGAAUCAAUGCCUCUUUUUGCAUUCAUCUCAUACAUUUGCAUUACAUCAUAUGCAGUAAGUUUCAUAAAAUGACCCUAAUAAAAUUAAAAUUAUGACAGUUACCCUGGAAACCAACAAAAAUCUAAUCAAAUAUCACUACGGUACUCGUCGCCAAACAAAAGUAAUGGAUCAAAGGUUGGAAAGAUUGGAACAGUUGCAACGAGAGAUGCAAGAUCAGAUGCAUGAACGACUGGAAAAAAUCCAGCAGGACAUGUUAGAAUCCCAGAACACUGUGAUGAACCAAUUAAAGCAGUUAUUGGCUGGAGGAAACAACAAAGGAAAAGAUCCCGUAGUCGAUGCGGGGGAAGAUCACGAUGACCCUAUUUAUCCUCCAGGUUUCACCCCAACUAACAUCCAAGCACAACCAGAGGUGCACCCACAGAAGGUACCGGUUACCAUUAGACCUCAAUAUCUGGCUAGUGCCUCGGUACCAGUGCAUUUUCAAAUGGGCUCGGGUUCUAAUCCCGGGGAUAAUCCCACUAAUCCUGUGGUCCCGGACCUCGAUGACGUGGUAGAAACAGAAAAAACAAGAAUGAACCUGCCAAAACAGCUGGAGGACCGAUGUAGAUGGUUAGAGGAAAAAUUUAGAGUCAUGGAGAACAUCGACUAUCAUCGCGGGGUUGACGCCAAGGAUCUGAGUUUGGUCCCUGAUUUAGUACUCCCACCUAAGUUCAAAAUGCCGGAAUUCGAAAAAUAUAACGGGACUAGUUGUCCUGAAGCUCAUAUAACUAUGUUCUGUCGAAGAAUGACAGGAUACGUCAACAAUGAUCAGCUGUUAAUCCACUGCUUCCAGGACAGUUUGAUCGGAUCUGCAGCCAAAUGGUACAACCAACUGAGUCGUGCUAAAGUUAGUUCAUGGAGAGACUUGGCGCAAGCUUUUAUGAAGCAAUACAGUCAUGUAACGGAUAUAACACCCGAUCGAAUUACGUUACAAAACAUGGAGAAAAAGCCUAGCGAGAAUUUCAGGCAGUACGCCCAACGAUGGAGAGAAGUGGCAACACAAGUCCAGCCGCCCCUUUUGGAAAAAGAGGUCACCAUGUUGUUUAUCAACACUUUGAAAGCCCCGUUCAUCAACCACAUGUUGGGGAGUGCUACCAAGAGCUUCUCGGAUAUGGUAAUGUCCGGUGAAAUGAUUGAGAAUGCGAUAAGGAGCGGUAAGAUUGACACGGGGGAAAACUUCAAAAGACCAGCCCCAAGGAAAAAAGAGGGCGAAGUAAACAACGUAAGCACAUAUAGCAAGAGCCAUUCAAAACCGAUUACUGUUGGCCCUCCAAAAAUGAUAACCACUAGUCACCAAGCCCCCUCGAGGCAGGAACCCAACACAAGGCCCAACACAAGGACUAACACAGAGAGACUUCAGUUCACGCCCAUUCCAAUAACAUACGGGGAACUGUAUCAGAAGUUAUUUGAUGCACACAUAGUAUCUCCAUUUUAUCUCGAGCCCAUGCAACCUCCAUAUCCCAAAUGGUAUGACACGAAUGCCCAAUGUGAAUACCAUGCAGGGAUACCAGGACACUCAAUUGAGAACUGUACUAGGUUUAAAAAGGCAGUGGAAAGGUUCAUUAAGAUGGGGAUUGUGAAGUUUGACGACCCAUUAGGACCCAACGUAGCAGCGAAUCCGUUACCCAACCAUGCUGAUAAAGGGGUAAACGCAAUAAUCGAAGGUGAGAAAAAGAGAAUCAAAACCGACAUUGCAGAGAUAAAAACCCCAUUGAGUUGGGUCUGGAGACAAAUGAUAGAAGGAGGUCUCAUCAAACAAGGUUCAAAAGAAAGGCCCGAAGGAACGAAGACGUACUGCGAGUUUCAUGCUGAAGAAGACCAUGACAUUCAAAACUGCACUGAAUUCAAGGCCAUGGUGCAAAAUCUGAUGAACAACAAAGAGCUAGAAUUUUAUGAAGAGAUCAAAGGACUUAAAAAUGGAGAAGUUUAUGCCUCGGAGGAGGGGCCUACGGGAAAGGCCCCAAAUCACCCAGUGGUAAUUAUUUCAAGGCCAACGAGUAUAGGAUCUGGAAUACAACUGGCGCCAAGGGUCAUAAUCCAAAAACCUGUAGCCUUUCCUUACAAGGAUAGCAAAAAGGUUCCUUGGAAUUACGACUGCAAUGUGAUGAUCACGGGAGAGGAGAACCCGAUAAAUGCUUCAGAAGAGGCUAAUGACGCAGGUUUCUAUACGCGUAGUGGAAAACGUUACGACCUGGGAAAUACAAAAAGGGAACUUAUAAAAGGAAAAGCCUUGGCGGUUGAACAAAAUAAAACGAAGACGACCGGAAUUAAACCGCAAAUUAACACACCGGUGACCGAAAACGAGGCUAGAGAAUUCCUAAAAUUCUUGAAGCAUAGCGAGUAUAGCGUGGUGGAACAAUUGCAUAAGCAACCCGCUCGCAUUUCAGUGCUCGAGUUACUUCUAAGUUCAGAGAUACAUCGUAAUGCGUUGGUAAAAGUGCUAAAUGAGACCUAUGUCGCUAAAGAUAUCUCAGUGAACAAAUUGGAUCGCCUGGUUAAUAAUAUAAAUGCCGAUAAUUUCAUCUUCUUCAAUGAUGAUGAGAUCCCGCCAGGUGGUAUGGGAUCUACCAAGGCCUUGCACAUCACUGCCCGUUGCAAGGGGUGUAUACUACCGGCAGUACUCGUGGACAAUGGAUCGGCCCUGAAUGUUUUACCCCUGUCCACAUUAAACAGGUUACCUGUGGAUAGUUCUCACAUGAAAUCAUGUCAAAAUAUAGUGAGAGCAUUUGAUGGCACUGAGAGAAAAGUGAUGGGGAGAAUCGAGAUACCUCUAUUGAUUGGUCCAAAUACAUACGAGGUGGACUUUUUGGUAAUGGAUAUUAAACCAUCUUACAAUUGCCUAUUGGGGAGGCCUUGGAUCCAUUCUGCAGGAGCUGUACCAUCGUCACUUCAUCAAAAGUUAAAGUUGGUGAUAGAAGGUAGAUUGGUGACUAUAGGUGCAGAAGAAGACAUCAUUGCAUCAGUCACCGAUGAUAUGCCAUACAUAGAGGCUGAUAGUGAAGCGAUAGAAUGUUCAUUCCGAUCAUUGGAAUUCGUAAAUGCCACAUUUGUCAUCGAGAUGAGCAAAAUCCCAGAACCUAAGAUAUCCAAAGCUACGUCAAUGAGCUUACAGCUAACGAUGAGAAAGAGAGCAUUGCCUGGAAGAGGAUUGGGAAAAUACCUCCAGGGGAGGGUUGGAGUACCGAUCCCAGUUAACAAACAGGAUCGUUAUGGUUUGGGAUAUAAGCCUAAUGCGAGGGAAAGGAGGAAGGAGAUGGAGAAAAAGCAAGAAAGGAGAAGAGCACAUUUGGGCGGGAUAGAAGCCAAGUGGGGACCGAUAACCUUUACUCUUAUAUCUAAGACCUUUGUUUCAGGGGGAAUUGUCCACCCUGAAGAGAAGGAUGAGGUUACAGAAGGAAGGAUUGAGAGGUUGGACAUCAAUGCCAUAUCCGCGGAAGAAAGGGUGGAAAGGAAUUUAUCGGGCAUUCGUCCUUACGAACCUGGAAGUGUUCUGAAUAACUGGACUGCAGAAGAGAUCCCUGUAACAUUUAGAACUAAUUCAGAGUAAUAUUCAGAACACUUGUUGCCCUAAGCCUGGGGGUGAUAAGAAUCUUUUGUAAAAGGCACAUGUCCAAAAUCUAAUUUCAGUGAAAACUUAUCAUUCAGUUUCAUCUUGAGCAAAUAUUCUUUCAUUCUUUUCAUUCCCUUUAUAAUCAUACUAUGCAUACAAGUAUUCUUAGAUUCUUUUAUUUGGGCCUCCAUUUGUUCCAAUAACAGGUCUUCAGAUAUCAACGAGAUGAACGACUCUGUUACUAAUUCAGAGUCUCUAUUUGAGCAAGACAUAAGUAUAGAUGAUCUUCAAGAUUUUGAAGGUGGCCAAGACAGCGUUUUAUCUCCGGAUUUGUUAAGAAUGAUGGAAGAAAAAGAAAAACAAAUUCUACCCUAUAAGGAAUCAGUAGAAGUUGUGAUCUUAGAAGAGGGCAGAGAGGUAAAAAUUGGCGCUUGUAUUGCCAAGGAAACAAGGCAAGACCUUGUUGAGUUGCUUCGAGAGUUUAAAGAUGUCUUCGCGUGGUCCUACCAAGAUAUGCCAGGGUUAAGUACUGAUAUCGUGGUACACCGAUUGCCUAUAAAGGAAGAAUGCAAACCAGUCCAACAAAAGCUCCGAAGGAUGAGGCCUGACGUCUUGCUAAAAAUAAAGGAAGAAGUUAAGAAGUAAUUUGAUGCUGGUUUCUCACAGGUGGUCAAGUACUCAGAAUGGGUAGCCAAUAUAGUCCCUGUUCCUAAGAAAGAUGGGAAGGUGCGAAUGUGUGUGGACUACAGAGACUUGAACAAAGCCAGCCCAAAAGAUAAUUUCCCACUGCCUCAUAUCGAUACCUUGGUAGACAACACGGCCGGAUACUCACUGUUCUCUUUCAUGGAUGGUUUCUCCGGGUACAACCAAAUUAAGAUGCUUUCUGAAGACAAGGAAAAGACCACAUUCAUAACGAUGUGGGGGACGUUUUGUUAUAAAGUGAUGCCUUUUGGAUUGAAAAAUGCGGGAGCAACAUAUCAGAGAGCCAUGGUAGCAUUAUUCCAUGAUAUGAUGCAUAAAGAGAUAGAAGUUUAUGUUGAUGACAUGAUCGCAAAAUCCAGAACAGAAAAGGAACACGUGCAAGUUCUGAGAAAACUGUUUCUGAGGUUAAGGAAGUUCCAGCUAAAACUUAACCCAGCCAAGUGUACUUUCGGGGCUAGAUCAGGAAAACUGCUAGGAUUCUUAGUCAGCGAAAAGGGAAUUGAAAUUGACCCAGACAAAGUUAAGGCCAUACAAGAAUUACCUCCGCCAAGUACUCAAAAAGAAGUUCGGGGUUUCCUAGGAAGACUAAAUUACAUCGCUCGGUUCAUUUCACAAUUAACUGAGAAAUGUGACCCCAUAUUCCGUCUUCUUAGGAAACACAAUCCAGGUGUAUGGGAUGAGGAGUGCCAGGAAACUUUCGAAAGAGUUAAACAUUACUUGUCCAACGCCCCAGUACUGGUGCCACCUUGCCCUGACAAACCAUUGAUACUAUACUUGGCAGUAUUUGAGAAUUCCAUGGGGUGCGUGCUCGGCCAACAUGAUGAGUCAGGACGAAAAGAAAGAGCGAUCUAUUAUCUCAGUAAGAAGUUCACUGAAUGCGAAACGAGAUAUUCACCAAUUGAAAAAUUAUGUUGCGCAUUGGUUUGGACUACUCGGAGAUUGAGACAAUACAUGUUGUACCAUACGACUUGGUUAAUCUCAAAGUUAGACCCUCUGAAAUACAUGAUGGAGUCAACUGCUCUAAACGGAAGGAUGGCCCGAUGGCAAAUUCUACUAUCUGAAUUUGACAUAACCUAUGUGAAUCAAAAGGCUGUAAAAGGGAGCGCGAUAGCAGAUUUUCUAGCAAGUAGAGCCCUGGACGAUUAUGAGCCUUUGAACUUUGACUUCCCAAACGAGGAUCUGAUGUAUGUGGCAACUACUGAAGCGAGCACACAAGAAGGCAAUACUUGGAAAUUAAAUUUUGACGGAGCCUCAAAUGCCAUGGGCAACGGGAUUGGGGCAGUCUUGGUAUCUCCAAACGGUGAUCAUUAUCCUUUCACCAGUAAACUAGAUUUUGAUUGCACAAAUAACAUGGCGGAAUAUGAAGCAUGUAUCAUGGGAAUCCGUGCGGCUAUGGAACGCAAAAUCAAUGUACUUGAGGUAUAUGGGGAUUCGGCAUUGGUAAUUUAUCAGCUCAAAGGCGAAUGGGAAACAAGAGACCCUAAAUUGAUUAGUUACCGAAGGAUAGUCCUAGAAUUGAUUGAAGAAUUUGACGACAUCACUUUUUGUUAUCUCCCACGAGACGAGAAUCAGAUGGCCGACGCUUUAGCUACAUUGGCUUCCAUGAUCAAAGUAAACAGACCAGAGGAUGUGAAGCCUAUCCAAGUGAGCAUUUAUGAUGCUCCAGCCCACUGUUGUAAUAUUGAUGAGGAAGAAGAAAAGGACGACAACCCUUGGUAUCAGGACAUAUUGCGAUACGUAAAAAAUUGUGAAUACCCAAACCAAGCAACUGAGAAUGACAAGAGAAUGUUGAGGAGGCUGGCCAGUGGCUACGUCUUAGAUGGAGAAAUCCUGUACAAAAGAGGAAAAGAUCAGGUGCUGUUAAGAUGUGUAGACGCUGUAGAGGCCAAGCAGAUCUUGGAAGAAGUCCAUGAUGGUAUUUGUGGAACACACGCUAACGGUUUCACAAUGGCCAGACAGAUCAUGAGAUUUGGAUAUUAUUGGUCUACCAUGGAAGGAGACUGCAUCAAGUAUGCUAAGAAGUGCCAUAAAUGCCAGAUUUACGGAGAUAAAAUUCAUGUGCCUCCAUCACCUCUUCACGUCAUGACUUCCCCAUGGCCUUUCUCCAUGUGGGGCAUGGACGUCAUUGGGCCGAUAUCGCCAAAGGCUUCAAACGGACAUCGUUUCAUUUUUGUAGUGAUUGACUACUUUACUAAGUGGGUAGAGGCUACUUCUUACGCCAACGUCACAAAGACAGCUGUCAGCAAGUUUUUAAAGAAGGAAAUCAUAUGUCGGUAUGGAAUGCCUGAAAGGAUCAUAUCAGACAAUGCAUUAAAUUUGAAUAAUAGCACGAUAGCAGAGGUUUGUAAUCAAUUCAAGAUCAAGCACCACAACUCAUCGCCAUAUCGUCCGAAGAUAAAUGGUGCGGUGGAGGCAGCCAAUAAAAAUAUCAAAAAGAUUGUGGGAAAAAUGACUGAAACCUAUAGAGAUUGGCACGAGAAGUUGCCAUUCGCCCUCUAUGCUUAUCGAACGUCCGUCAGGACUUCUACCGGGGCAACACCAUUCUCUUUGGUUUAUGGAAUGGAGGCAGUGCUACCAAUUGAGGUUGAAAUUCCCUCUCUCCGAGUUUUUUCAGAACUAAAGUUAGACGAAGCAGAAUGGGUCCAAGCCCGAUAUGAUCAGCUGAACUUGAUUGAAGAAAGGAGGUUAAGAGCUAUCCGUCAUGGUCAAAUGUACCAGAAACGAAUGAUGCGAGCUUACAAUAAGAGAGUUCGUCCUAGAAACUUCCAUGAAGGGGACUUGGUACUGAAGAAGAUCCUUCCCAUACAAAAGGACUUCAGAGGAAAGUGGAUGCCAAACUGGGAGGGACCUUAUGUAGUAAAAAAGGCCUUUUCAGGAGGGGCAUUAAUUUUAACUGGGAUGGAUGGCAAAAGCUUGCCCAAUCCUGUGAAUUCGGAUUCAGUGAAGAGGUACUUUGCCUAAUAAAAAAAAAAAAAAGGAGAGGCCAAGGCGAAAACCCGCAAAGGGCACCUUGAGACCAAAGGGGCUUUGAAUUGAAAACCCAGGAAUGGGCAAUUCGAAUUUUCGAUCAAAGUUGAGGCAUAGAGUAGUUUUGUCUUCUCCGAAUUAACAAGAAGGAGAGAUGCUACACCUUGGGGCAUCAACAAAGUCUUUUAGGAUUUCUAAACACAGAGUUUGUGCGGAGAAGCUCACGCUGCGAUAUCUGGGGCACCUUUUUUUUAUCUUAUUUACAUCUUAGCAAAAUUUGCUAUUUGUUCAUUUAGAGCUCUGCUCUCAAUAAAUUCCAUCUUAUUCAUUGUGAUGAUCUUUUUCAUCAUUUAUCAGCAAAAUUUGCUAUCUUGAUUGAUUUGUUCAUUUCGAGCUUUGCUCUUAGCAAAAUUUUAUUUUGUCCAUUUUGAUAAUCUUUCAAGCAUUCUUCUUUGAAAUAACGAUUAAUGGAUUGACAAUACACAUGCAGAAGGAGUUCUGCAUAUUACUCUGAAAGUUUCUAAAUAACACGAGGACCUGAAACAGGACUGUUGUUUAGAGCUGACCAAACUUAAGGGUUAGAAGCAUUGGAGGAAGAAUAGUCCAAAUUAUAUCUAUUUCUUUAGGUUUUCUGUCAAAGGUACCGGCUGAACAAGAAGACAUCAGUGAUAGAACCUUGAUGAACAAUGAGGAAUGACAACCUAAGCAUUAAAAAUGGAUCAUUCUCAUGACAUUCUACAAAUAUAAUACAUACACAUCUAGUUAGGAGCAUUUGAUCCAUUCUGAUCAUGUCAUCCUAAACACUAGGCAUAAAUAGGUCCAUGAAAUGGAUUUUGCAGGUCAUGUUCCCCAGAGAACAGAUUAAAGAAACAAAUCCUAUACCCCUGAAGUUACAGUGGGAUAGAUUGAGAUCGAAGAAAGCAGAUCUUGUCUUCAUGUAUUGGCGUGAAGUAGAUCGAAGAUAUCAGAUCCUAUCUUCCUAUAUUGGUAGGAAGUGGAUCGAAGAUGCAGAUCUUGUCUUCCCAUAUUGGUGGCGAAGUAGAUCGAAGAAAGCAGAUCUUGUCUUCAUGCAUUAGCGUGAAGUAGAUCGAAGAAAGCAGAUCUUGUCUUCAUGCAUUGGCGUGAAGUAGAUCGAAGAUAUCAGAUCCUAUUUUCCUAUAUUGGUAGGAAGUGGAUCGAAGAUGCAGAUCUUGUCUUCCCAUAUUGGUGGCGAAGUAGAUCGAAGAAAGCAUAUCUUGUCUUCCCAUAUUGGUGGCGAAGUAGAUCGAAGAAAGCAGAUCUUGUCUUCAUGUAUUGGCGUGAAGUAGAUCGAAGAUAUCAGAUCCUAUCUUCCUAUAUUGGUAGGAAGUGGAUCGAAGAUACAGAUCUUGUCUUCCCAUAUUGGUGGCGAAGUAGAUCGAAGAAAGCAGAUCUUGUCUUCAUGCAUUAGCGUGAAGUAGAUCGAAGAAAGCAGAUCUUGUCUUCAUGUAUUGGCGUGAAGUAGAUCGAAGAUAUCAGAUCCUAUUUUCCUAUAUUGGUAGGAAGUGGAUCGAAGAUGCAGAUCUUGUCUUCCCAUAUUGGUGGCGAAGUAGAUCGAAGAAAGCAGAUCUUGUCUUCCCAUAUUGGUGGCGAAGUAGAUCGAAGAAAGCAGAUCUAGUCUUCAUGCAUUAGCGUGAAGUAGAUCGAAGAUGCAGAUCUUGUCUUCCCAUAUUGGUGGUGAAGUAGAUCGAAGAAAGCAGAUCUUGUCUUCAUGUAUUGGCGUGAAGUAGAUCGAAGAUAUCAGAUCCUAUCUUCCUAUAUUGGUAGGAAGUGGACCGACGAUGCAGAUUUUGUUUUCCCAUACUGGUGGUGAAGAAGAUCGAAGAAAGCAGAUCGACGAUGGCGGAUUUUACCUCCCUGACUACAGUGGAGUACAUCGAAGCCGAUAACUCUAUCUCCCUACAUUCAACAGUGGAAUAGAGUGAAGAGCACAAAUCUUAUCUCCCUAAGCAAUAGUGGAGCAGAUCGCAUCAAGUCUUAUCUCCCUAAGCAGUAGUGGAGCAGACUAAAAACACAAAUCUCAUCCCCGUAGAGUCAUAACAGAGUAGAUUGAAGCUUUGAUCUUAUCUUUAUGAAGUUACAUUGGAGUAGAUCGAAGCUACAAGGCAUAUGUCAGAAAAUGUAGUAGAUUGAAUCUAAAGCUACAAGAUGCAGUGGAUUGGAAGAAGAUUAUCUGAACCAGAAGAACACCAAUGAAGUCAAGACCCAGCAAGACCAGGCAAAAUUGGCCUUUCAUUAUGUCUUUGCUCCAUUCCCGUUACACGACAAUGAGCAAAGAGGGGCAGCUGUACAGGCUAAUUUUGGGCUAAACCCAAAACCCAACUAACCUAGCCCAAUACCCUAAACUACCUGAGCCCAAAUUUUAAAACCCUAACAGCCCAUCUGCUUAAAAGAUUUCAGCAGCAAGCCCUAGCUCCCACCUUGUCAGCCGCCGCUUCCCACCAUCGGCCAACCAUUGGCUACCUUGCGCACUACCCCCUCGUCCACCGCGCCCACUACCUGCAACAGAGACAGAAACAACAGCAAAAGGAAGCAUGCGAGGAAUGGGGGCAAAGAAUAAACAAAACAGAAACAAAAAAAAGGAGAAAUGAAUGUUUAUGGAUCGGCUUUAAAAAGCCAAAAUGAAGGAUGAGAAAAGAGGGCCUUUUUUUUUCUUUUCUCUUUACCGAGCAGUGUAAAAUUCGAAAAAUCUCAAAAAAAAUUUCAACAACCAAUAUACGAAAGCUAAAACCUCAUAAGUAGCAUAGAUCAAACAUCAAAAAGGAGAUUUAAACGUCCUAAAAUCAGAAACGUUACUAGCAAAUAGGGAAAGAAGAAGAGAACAACGGCAAAGUCAAGGUUCCUAAUAUUUUUUCAUUUCUUUUUAUUUUCAGAUUUACAUUCACCUAUAUAUGCAUAUAUAAUAAAAUACACACAAAAAAAAAGAAAUUUUUACCUAAGGCGAUUUCCGGCCACCGUGUACGGUGGCCGGCGCGGUGGAGCUACGACGGCGUGCGGUGGCUCUCCUGGCCGGUUUCUAGGCAUCCCCAGAGAGAAAAAUCCCUUUCUCCCUUUUUUUUUCCUAAGACUCAGCUGAAA
rnacentral:lncRNA from 1 species